GCCAAAGAUGCGGUCAUGGUGCCCCAAACCCUCCUCCUGCUACUCUCGGGGGCCCUGGCCCUGACCGAGACCUGGGUGGGCUCCCACUCCUUGAGGUAUUUCAGCACCGCUGUCUCCCGGCCCGGCCGCGGGGAGCCCUGGUACCUCGAAGUCGGCUACGUGGACGACACGCGGUUCGUGCGGUUCGACAGCGACGCCGCGAGUCCGAGGAUGGAGCCGCGGGCGCCGUGGAUGGAGCAGGAAGGGCCGGAGUAUUGGGACCGGAACACACGGAACGCCAAGGUCAACGCAGAGACUUUCCGAGGGGACUUGAGGAACCUGCUCCGUUACUACAACCAGAGCGAGGCAGGUGAGUGACCCCGGCCUGGGGCGCGGAUCAGGACCUCUCCCCAUCCCCCACGGACGGCCCGAGUUCCCCGGAGUCUUUGGUUCCCGUCAGACCCCCCAAAGACACACGUGGCCCACCACCCCGUCUCUGACCAAGAGGCCACCCUGAGGUGCUGGGCCCUGGGCUUCUACCCUGCGGAGAUCACACUGACCUGGCAGCGGGAUGGGGAGGAGCAAACUCAGGACACCGAGCUUGUGGAGACCAGGCCAGCAGGGGAUGGAACCUUCCAGAAGUGGACAGCUAUGGUGGUGCCUUCUGGAGAAGAGCAGAGAUACACGUGCCAUGUGCAGCACAAGGGGUUGCUGGAGCCCCUCACCCUGAGAUGGGAGCCAUCUUCCCAAUCCACCAUCCCCAUUGUGGGCAUCAUUGCUGGCCUGGCUGUCCUAGGAGCUGUGGUCGCUGCUGUGAUGUGGAAGAGGAAGAGCUUAGGACAUUUUCUUCACACAAGGGGAAAAAGAGGGAGCUACUCUCAGGCUGCAUGUAGCAACAGUGCCCAGAGCUCUUGUGUGUCUCUCAUGGAUUCUAAAGGCUGAGAAAGCUGCCUUACAUGGGACUGAGAUGCAGGAUUUCUUCACAUCUCCCCUUUGUUACUUCAAGAGCCUCUGGCAUCUCUUUCUGCGAAGGCAUCUGAAUGUGCCUGCCUCCCUGUCAGCAUAAUGUGAGGAGGUGGAGAGACUGCUCACCCCCGUGUCCACCGUGACCCGUGUCCCCACGCUGACCUGUGUUCCCUCCCCAGUCAUCCUUCCUGUUCCAGAGAGUUGGGGCUGGAUGUCUCCACCUCUGUCUCAACUUCAUGGUGCACUGAGCUGCCACCUCUUACUUCCCUACUGAAAAUGAGAAUCUGAAUAGAAAUUUGUUUUCUCAAAUAUUUUCCAUGAGAGGUUGAUGGGUUAAUUAAAUAAGUCAAUUCCUAGAACUUGAGAGAGGAAAUAAAGACCUGAGAACCUUCCAGAAUCCG